UGGGGAAUAUUGGGCAAUGGGGGAAACCCUGACCCAGCAACGCCGCGUGAGGGAAGAAGGCUUUCGAGUUGUAAACCUCUGUCCUAUGGGAAGAAGAAAGUGACUGUACCAUAGGAGGAAGCUCCGGCUAACUACGUGCCAGCAGCCGCGGUAAUACGUAGGGAGCAAGCGUUGUCCGGAAUUACUGGGCGUAAAGGGUGCGUAGGCGGCGCAGUUAGUCAGAAGUGAAAUAUCGGGGCUUAACUCCGGGACUGCUUCUGAUACUGCUGUGCUCGAGUGCAGGAGAGGUAAGUGGAAUUCCUAGUGUAGCGGUGAAAUGCGUAGAUAUUAGGAGGAACACCAGUGGCGAAGGCGACUUACUGGACUGUAACUGACGCUGAGGCACGAAAGCGUGGGUAGCAAACAGGAUUAGAUACC
rnacentral:rRNA from 1 species